UACGUAGGGCGCGAGCGUUGUCCGGAAUCAUUGGGCGUAAAGAGCUCGUAGGCGGCCUGUCGCGUCUGCUGUGAAAUCCCGGGGCUUAACCCCGGGCGUGCAGUGGAUACGGGCUGGCUGGAGGCAGGCAGGGGAGAACGGAAUUCCCGGUGUAGCGGUGGAAUGCGCAGAUAUCAGGAAGAACACCGAUGGCGAAGGCAGUUCUCUGGGCCGUAACUGACGCUGAGGAGCGAAAGCGUGGGGAGCGAACAGG
rnacentral:rRNA from 1 species